AUAUAUACCUUUACACACACACACACACACACACACACACAAAAUAUAAUUUUUUUUUUAUAUAAACACACAGACAUAUCCUAAAAGUUCAGUAGGUUUAUUUCCGUCCAGCUUAUAAUCAGGAUCCCACCAAAGUAAAACACUAUAUUAUUGGAAUUUAAUCUGUCCCCAAGAUCUUAAUGCAUGCAUGUCCUGACUACAAUGGGCUGUCUCAUUAAAUUCACAUGCUGAGGUUAUUUCAUACUAGAGCUUCUUGUAGUCUUACUCAUUUUUAACCCACUGGCACCAGGUACAUAAGCUGUCCAUUGUAGUUUUUCUGAAUUUUGAUUAGACAUGAAUCUCUCCUCACUGAGUCACCAAGUUGAUUAGUAUCAUCACAAAUGUCAAUAUUUUUAUUUCUUAUUCUUUCUGGUGUUAUGAUUGUUGCAUUUUUAUGAUUAAAACUAAUGGUAAAGAAUAUAUCUUUCCAAAAAUCAGGAAAAGAGUAAAAAGGAUAAGAUGAAGUAGGCCUAUUACUUUACUAUGUCUUGGUGAUGAGGCACAUCUGGAGUCAAAUAUAUUUAGACAAAAUUAAUAAACUAAAAUCACAGUGGACUGGGGAUAUAUAUACACAUCCUCUCCUGGUGUCAUUGAGUUGAUGUCCCAGGUUCCUGAACAGAUAAAAUAAGGGACAAUUUACACACCAAUAAACUUGAAACACACACAUGCACACAUGCAUGCAUGCACGCACACACACACACAAACACAGGGACUUGCACACGCACACCCACCCACACACAUGCACGCACGCGCGCACACGCACACACGCAAACACAUGCAAACAAUGCACACACACACACACACACACACAGAGGUUUUAAAUGACAUAAUGCUGUCAUAAUGGGUCAUUCAAAAUCCAUUGGUAUUAUUAAAGAUGGUUUGUAAUAUUGGAUCUUCCCUGUUUUUGUUUUAAAUUGUGUAAAAUAUAUUCUGUUGAGAUAAAUGUACUGUUUAUGGUAAUUUUACAACGAUGGUAAACUUUCAGAGUACUCAGUUUGAUGGACAUCAGAUUAGGCUUUUUUAGGUUAACAACAAUUUUUGGAACACGGACAAAACACUUCAAGGAAGGAUGAAGAUUGAUAUUUAUUUAUUUGUUUUAAAUUUUUAUUAUUAUUAUUUUUUGUCUUGCUGAAGCAGUCUAUUGUAGAAAAGUUCAGAUGUGCCAAGAAUAGCGUUUUAAAAGGCCAAUAGUUUGCCAAUAGUAUAGCAGCCUUUUGGAAUUUGGCAUUUUUCCUUCAUUGAACAAUAACGAUGCCAUACGCACAAAAAGAUUAUACCGUUAUGAUAUACCGAGUAGUUCUGUUUCUUGAGAGUAAUGAAAGAGUAAAGAGUAGCCUUUGUGAUAAUAAUGAAAUAGAUUGAAAGUUUUACAUUAAAUUUGCCAGGUAGUUAUAUUGGAGAACUAACAUCCCAGUGAUAAGGUAGGCAUUUUCUAAUAAAGCCUUUUGGGAAAAAUAUUGCAGUUCCCACUAUGUUUUUCCAAUUUUUUCUGUUGUGUUGUUUUACGUAAUAUCGGUUUGUUUACACGAUGAUUGUUUUGUCAUGAUUUCUUCUGUAACGUGUGAUUUGAUAGUGUGUACAGUUUGAAUUUAUAUGAUUCUUUGAACAUUCCAGAUUUGGUAUUUAAGAAACAUGUAGAACCUUUUUUUUUUCAGCUGAGCAGAAGAAAAUCCUUGACUGAUAAUAUUAAAAGAAUCUUGGCAUGUUAUAUGUAAAUCCAUAUGUAAUUUUUACCCUAUUUAUUUGUUAUCAUACUCAAAGGUAUGAUAUAAAGUUUGGAGAUAAAAUUGAAUCAAGGCAUAAAGUAAUAUUAAUUUCUAACCGACAAGCACAUUGAUGCUUUUUGUUAAUCCCAGAAUUGUUUUAAUCCCCCCCCCCCCCCAUUUGUCAACGAAUGAGACUUGAGAUAUGAUGGAGGAUUUUUACUUCUGCUAACAGCUUAAAAAAUAUUAUUUACUAUAACCAUUUCUUCAGGAAAAAAUAUUUUCUCGCUGCUUGUAAAGAUAAUUUGUAUAUAUUGACACUUGGAAGAAAUAUAUAUUUAAAAUGUACUGGAUUAUUGUUUUAGGCACCAAGCUUUAAUUUAGUUCAGGUUGAAUUAUUCCCCCCCACAAAAAUACAAUUGAUGCAGAUGAAGAUAUUAAAUAUAAGCUGCUCUUGAUCAGUCAAGAAUUUGAAGGUGUGUUGUGUCCUUCAACAUACCAGGAAUUUAGCAUUGAUUGCCUGUAUUAAAGGUUUGCUAAUUUGUGGAUGUAACCUGUAAUCUCUUGUUUUUAGAUCCCCAUACACAACAAGUAUUUGUAGUAGUAAGUGAAUUGUCCUUUCUUCACAUAGUUGUAGUUCUUGGAGUUUUUUCUUUGCUUCCUUUUUUAAAAAUAUUUAUUCUUAAUUCUAAUCUUUUCAUUUGCCCACUGUUACAAGGUCUUCCAAUAUCUUCCAUAACUGCCAACUGCCGUGCAUUGUUUUCCAGAGACUUCCAGAAAUAUGUUAAUUUGCAAAAUAUAGGAUGUUCCUUUUAAAAUUUAACACUUUAGAAAAAUAAAUAAAAGUAAGACUUAAAGAUAAAAAAUAUUGAUGAACAAAUGAGAAAAGUGUGUUAAUAAAAUCAAUUUUUUUUUCAUAAUUACAUUCAAGUUAUUUUGUCAUUAUAAUUAUAUUCAAGUUAUUUUGUCAUUAUAAUUAUAUUCAAGUUAUUUUGUCAUUAUAAUUAUAUUCAAUUAUUUUGAUCCAUCUUUAAGCUUAUAUUCAGACUCCUAGGCCACCCAAACUAGAAGGCUGGACUUGCUUCUCGCACCCGUCCCCCAGUCACAUUCGAGACAGUCUGUGAUUGGCUGAUGGGCUCAAGAUGCCGGUCCAGCUUUCUGUUGCAGGUGUCCCAAGUGUCUCUGAAUAUGAGUAUUAGUGUGGUGCUCAUAUCUGGGCUUCACAAGAACCACAUAUGUGUAUCAUUUAUCUGUCUAGCUUUAAUAAAGUUAGGUAGUAAAUUUGCUGUAAGUACAAGUAAAUUAUUGUGUUUUAAAAGUUAAAUCAGAAUACAAUUACUCUGGGAAAAUUAAGGGUAAUGCAUGUUUACCAGUCAUAAAUAAUCAAAUGCAUGGACUGUAAAAUGGGGACAGGUAAUGGUAUUUCUUGUACAAAAGGUGUAGAAAAUAAUGUAAGAGACUGAAUUAUACAUAUGUUUUGGAGUGUAUUAUUGCUGCUAAAACUUUGGAAACAUCAUUAAUUUUCCUUCAGGAUUAGUGACUUUCUAUAUUAUGGUCAAGGGUAAUCUACUCUAGAAAAAAUAAUUGAGAACUAUUCCGUCAAAGCCAAAUAACCUCAUGUGUUCUACAUAUCCAUUUUUCAUUAAACCAAGACAUUGUGAAAUUUGAAUGGACAAUCCCCAUGCAUAAAGUAUUGCAUGUAAGUCUGAGGUCCUUCUGAUGUAAUAAGUUUUCAUAAUUUAUAUUUAGUUGUCAGAAUGUUUGUGAAUAGUAUUGAUAUUAUAGUACUAUAAGUAUAAAAGGGUAGAAAAAAAAAAUGGACUAAAAUAAAUACAUAUGAAAUUUAAGAAAUAGAAAUGCAGUGUUAGAUGUCUGGUUAGUAACACUUUCUGUUAAACUUGAAUACUGAGUUUUGAAAACACAACUGUAGAAUCAUAUUUAAAUCAGACCAUUUUUCCCACUGUACAUAUACAUAAACCAUCUGAUUUGAGUAGAUUUUGUCUUGCCAUAAUUAACUGUAAGUAACUAGUAAGUUUCCUUUCCUUAUAACCGAAAACAAGUGAGUAGUCAUAUAUUUUGAGAUCCAUGUUAUACAUCUUAAAGGCUUCUAUUUAGUUUUACAUGUAUAAAAAUAAUGUUUACAUCCCUUCUGACAGGUUUAAUCUUCAGUUGUAAUUGUUUUUUAAUGUCUCUCCUUGGCAUGUUAUUUUGCCAUAUUAUGUAUCUUAUAUCUUUAAUCUGGCUUGAAGCUUCUUCUUAUGGAAUCCUUACUACUAGACUUGUUUAAUAUUAUGCAUUGCCAAAUAGGUGUAAAUCUUAAAAGUUCCAACUUUAUAUACACAUACAUGUAUGUCUUUAUCAGAGUUUAAAGUUGUUAGAUUUUAAUUUAUACUAAUCAAGCUGACAAAGAAUAUUCGACGACAAGUCCACGACACCUCUUCCUGUUCUCAGGCUGGCUGAAGGGAGACCUACAUACAAUAUAUAUUUUAUACUUACUCAUGUACAUUUCUUCACUCAUAGAAUGGCUACUGUUAUUCUUACAAUUAAAUUUUUUUUAUAUAA